AGAUUGAACGCUGGCGGCAUGCCUAACACAUGCAAGUCGAACGGCAGCACGGGGGCAACCCUGGUGGCGAGUGGCGGACGGGUGAGGAAUGCAUCGGAAUCUGCCUGGUUGUGGGGGAUAACGUAGGGAAACUUACGCUAAUACCGCAUACGACCUACGGGUGAAAGUGGGGGACCGCAAGGCCUCACGCGAUCAGAGGAGCCGAUGUCGGAUUAGCUAGUUGGCGGGGUAAAGGCCCACCAAGGCGACGAUCCGUAGCUGGUCUGAGAGGAUGAUCAGCCACACUGGAACUGAGACACGGUCCAGACUCCUACGGGAGGCAGCAGUGGGGAAUAUUGGACAAUGGGCGCAAGCCUGAUCCAGCAAUGCCGCGUGUGUGAAGAAGGCCUUCGGUUGUAAAGCACCUUUGUACGGAAGAAAAGCUUACGGUUAAUAACCUGGGUCAUGACGUACCGUAAGAAUAAAGCACCGGCUAACUUCGUGCCAGUAGCCGC
rnacentral:rRNA from 1 species